UUGUCUUGUUCAUCAAUCAAGCCUCAAUCAUUACACAUAAGUGGAAUAUACACUAAUCUUUAUAUUCAGUUUUCAUUCGUACAAGGCUUAAGGGUAUAUUCAUCAAUCAUUCCACCAAUUACUCAAUAUAUCUAUGUAGCCCCGCAUGCAUAAGGCAUUCAGCUCUAAGUAGCUCAUCAAUCAAACACAUUAUUUAUAUUAUUCAUCCCAAAUGCUUGCCGGCAAAGAGUAUCAGAUUGCGUUGCGACUUGAUCAGGUAGAGGAAUGGAUGUGUGGCAAAGAAUCUCUUGCGUCGGAUUGCCAUUACGGGCAUGAUGCGAAACACUGUGAACAAGCCGUACAAAUGCCCUUAGAUAUGCUAUAAAAAAAGUUUUUAGUGCCAUAAAUUGUCAUCGUGCGCAGUCUUAAAUUCGAAAUGUUUCAUUUGGUUUUUACGAUGGUUGAAGAGAUCGAAGAUGCUGUUCAAGGUCUGGCGAACUUGCCAGCAAAGAGAAUCGCGCCCCGCCUGUUGGCAAUGUAAUAAAUAAAUGGAUGAUCGGCAUGGAAUCGGAUGGGUUCCGGCUGGAACAUGGGCAUCGAAGCAUAGCACAUGACCAUAGCUAUAAGUAAAGAAGAAGACAUAACGGAAGACAAGAACAAAAAACACACACGAUUAGUCCAAGUCUGAGAUGAUAUUGGAGUUCUUAUGCAAGCUGAUGGAUGAUGACUGAUGGCGAUUGAUACUGAUUGAUACUAGUAGAUUGAGUCUAAGAGAAGUAAACAAGGAAAAGAGCACACUAAUCUGCAUAGAAAGUAGUUUAUUACGGAAUAUUAAAUCACAAUCAAUCAUAUCAUAUAGAAAAGAAAAUCUUAAAUGACAUCGGAAAUUGUUGAGAAAUAUUCUUAAAAUGUCUGAAUUUUGCCAGCGAAAAGCGGCGCAGCAUCCUUAUUGACUAUGUAAUAGAGGAAUGGAUGAUCGGCAUCAAAAUAAAUGGGAUCCGGUUCGAUGAUCAUCAUUUCACACAUGACUAGAAGAGCUAUACGAAUGAAUGAGAAGACAAAGCAUAGAUGAGGAACAGUUAAUGACGAUUGCUGGAUUGAAGAAAGAUGAAAAAUAAUAUAUAGAAUAAAUGUGGGGCUACUUAUGAGGUCGAUGUGGUGGUCAAAAGUAUAACCCGAUUAAUUGGAAUGUUCCACUUUAUAAACUUUAUUAAAGCAUGCAGUAAUACAAAUA